AAGGUAGAGGUUGCGUAAUUCAUUAGUAUUUCACAGGAUGUGGCAGGCACAGAAGAGUGUGAAGGAAAGGGAGGCACGCCGAAAGAAUAUGUCUUCUGCAGAUGUUUUCUUGGGCGCAAGUUUAAUAGACUUGUGACUGUCAUCUUUUUGAAGAUGGGGAGCUAUCA
rnacentral:ncRNA from 1 species